rnacentral:rRNA from 1 species
CAGCCGCCGCGGUAAUACGUAGGGUGCGAGCGUUAAUCGGAUUUACUGGGCGUAAAGCGUGCGUAGGCGGCUUCUUAAGUCGGAUGUGAAAUCCCUGAGCUUAACUUAGGAAUUGCAUUCGAUACUGGGAAGCUAGAGUAUGGGAGAGGAUGGUAGAAUUCCAGGUGUAGCGGUGAAAUGCGUAGAGAUCUGGAGGAAUACCGAUGGCGAAGGCAGCCAUCUGGCCUAAUACUGACGCUGAGGUACGAAAGCAUGGGGAGCAAACAGGAUUAGAUACCCCAGUAGUCCCUGUCUCUUAUAC